rnacentral:sRNA from 1 species
GCUGGGCGUGGUGGUGCAUGUCUGUAAUACCAGUAAUUGGGAAGGCUGAGGCAGGAGGAUUGCAAAUUCAAAGCCAGUCUCAGCUACUCAGUGAGCCCCUCAGCAACUUAGCAAGACCCUGUCUCAA